UCCAAAGUCACAAAAUUUGUUGUUCUGCC
rnacentral:piRNA from 1 species